CGAGGUGAUUAUAGCGGGGAGGCACCACCUCUUCCCAUCCCGAACAGAGAAGUUAAGCUCCCCAGCGCCGAUGGUACUGCCGUAAAGGUGGGAGAGUAGGACGUUGCCGUUU
rnacentral:rRNA from 1 species